rnacentral:rRNA from 1 species
CAAUGGCGUAUAUUAAAGUUGUUGCAGUUAAAAAGCUCGUAGUUGAAUUUCUGGGCGGCCCGCCGGUCUUCCAUGUGUUGUACUGGGCGGCGCCGGCCAUCCUUGUGGAGAGGGCUCGCAUUUGGUUGCGUGUCGGAUCUGCAUCAUUUACUGUGAAAAAAUUAGAGUGUUUAAAGCAGGCUGUCGCUUGAAUACAUUAGCAUGGAAUAAUAAGAUAGGACUUCGGUCUAUUUUGUUGGUUGCGAACCGAGGUAAUGAUUAAUAGGGAUAGUUGGGGGUAUUCAUAUUUAAUUGUCAGAGGUGAAAUUCUUGGAUUUAUGAAAGAUGAACAACUGCGAAAGCAUUUACCAAGGAUGUUUUCAUUAA